GUGGCCGCACUCCGUACGGAAAUUAGUGCGGCCUUAAAAAUAAUAAAAACGCGUUUAUGAUUUAAGUUUUGCUUGAAUUGCAAAAACAAAAUAAGGUGUAAAACAUCAACAAAUUGGAAAAGACAAGGAAAAUGUUUUUUAUUUGUUGGCGAUGUGAAAAAAUAUGAUACAAUAUAAUUAAAGAAAUUUUCGCGCAUUUAGUGUGACCAUAUCGUGGGAGUUAUCGAUAUCGGCGUGAAAGGCUAUUUCAAAGUUUAAGUAAAAAUUUCAUUGUGUAAUAUAAAUAUUCUUCCGGACCUACCAGAGGUACAAUUAAAACAGGAUUUCAAUGCAGACGCUAUAUUCGAGCGGAGUUUCAAUCCAUGUGUCGUACGGGCUGUCCAUCCGCCCCUCCCCUAAGGGAAGGGCUAAAGGAAUGGCCGCAGUAAAAGAAAAAAAAAAGCUAGGCGGAGUGGCGCCAAAAUACAAGAAGAAGUAUUAGAUCAUUGCAAUGCCAUCAAAUAAGAAAAAACACUACACCUUAUACGCCAGACACCAAUGGCUCCAUUCAAGUGAAUGUACACACAAAGCAAAGCGAGAACGGAACCACGACAACGCAUGUACAGUAGAGGGAUAACUUUAAAGGAUUACAAUAUGUACCUACGUACUCCCAAUUACGUAAAUACAUCUGCCUGUAUGUACAUACUAGUGCAGAAGUAUCUAGCUAGGGACGUGUCUUAUAGAGUCCUCUGCUUAAUGGAUUUCAAUUGGAACUGCAGAAAAAUAUCAACAGAAGACGAAGCCUGUGUCUGUAGCCACCCUGUAGAGGCGUCACUUGAUUGUUCUUGUUGCUGUUGCUUGUUCAAGGGGCACACGUCAAUAAUUGCGCUUGAAAAGAAGUUAAGGAAAACACAAUCAAGCAGAAGCAGAAGCGGCAGCAGCAGUAGAGUGGCAAUGGUAGUGCCGGCGGCAGGAGGACCAAGAGGCAAGAGGCAGCCAAGCGGUGGAGGUCCUACCAAGAUCUCUGCAGUCAGUCGGUCCCCUUUCGAACUUUAAUGUGAAAAUCAUGCAAUGAACCAAAUUCAAACGGAAAUGAUUCACACUCCAGCUGAAACACAAUUCAAGUAGGGGAACGGAACCCCAGAACCCCCGACAACCAGAAGCAAAAGUACAAUAUAAAUAUAUGUACAUAGUCGUACAUACAUGUGUAUGUAUGUAUGUAUGUUGAUGCAGAAGGCGGAUGGACGGACGGGGGUCUCAAAUCGAAAUUGCGUUUUCAACAACAAUUGUUACAACAACAAUGACGCCAUUUGGAAGAACAAUAACAAUUUCACCCCCAUAAGAUGUCUAAGAGCGAGAGAGACAGGGACUGAGACUGAGACUGAGACCGGGUACCGAGUACCGAUGAAAGCAGAUGAAACACUCGAGGGAGGACCGACCGACCACCGCCACAUGUCGAGGAGCAUGUGCCCCCAGACAAAUGUCAACGCAAAUAUUUCACUUCCUGUUCUUUUUCCCAUUUAUUCGAAGAUUCCCCCGUUCGUUUGUUCGACUUGACUGCUAAGCUUCGACAAAAGGUUCAAAGGUCAAGGAUUUUCACGUUUAAUUAGACAUGGAUACGGUUUUUCAUCACCAUCACCAUCACCAGCAUGAGAAUCCAGCAUUCAGCAUCCAGCAGUCAGCAUCCAGCAUCUGCGAGGGCGUGUGCGUAGGCGGCAACGGCGACGGCGACAACAAAGAAGCGGUAUUUAAAUUUCCAAUUAGCCCAGUGAGAGGUCGGAUGGGUGAGUGGGUGGCAUGUGGCCUGUGGCCUGUGGCGGGUGGCUGGAAGCUUCCAGUAAAUAUACCUGAAUGGCACAAAGAAGUGUUUGAAGCUUAAAUCGCCUUUAGGACAAUGGCGCCGCCCGGGUAGCAGGUCUCGUCCGCCUGUGGGCGGCGACUUUGGCGCGUGGGCGAUUCCGGCUAAGAACGACAAGGUUAAGCUCUUGAUGGAAUUAUAGAAUUAUACGUAGUUUAAAUAUACAUAUACAUAUGUACACUGGUACGAUGGGACUAUCUUUUUCGAGUGUCCACUCAAGAUCCUUCAAGUAUGAUGCAGGCCUGAGUAUAAAGAAACCCAAUCCUUAGUUGCAGUGUAGUUUGAGGGAGAGCCAGGGCCUGUUACAGGGCCGGGGUCCAAAUUAAAGUUGAAUAACUUUUAAAAAACUUAAAUUUCGCUCACAGUCGAUAAAAACUCGUCUGUUUUCGUGGAUGGGGCGUGGGGGUAAGGAGAGGGCGACACUGGUGCAACAAAUUAAAUGCAUUAAAUGUCAACUCUGGCACUUGUUGUCCACGCUGAUAGUUUCAUUAAAUGGAAAAGCGAAUUUUUGCGCAUUUUCCGCAAAAGUACGAGUAUUUUUUCCCCGCGUUUUUCCUGCUUUUUCCUGCUUUUUUCUGUCGCUGUCUUUGAGGGGACGGACGAGCAGGCAAAUCCCACUGAGACGCCGUCUGUGUCUCAUCUUGAGCAACCUCCAGGCAGACAGUAUUUUUCUGGCUGUUUUCCUCUGUCUUGUGUCUCUUUAUCUGAGACUCCAAGCUGCAAGGCAUGCCAUUUUCCAUUUGCCAUAUUUCAAUUGCAUUUUAAUUCAUUUGAGUGUGUUCCAGUGUGUGUCUUCUGUAUGCCACAUUUUCUGCGGUUUCUUUGCCCUUUUCGAGGGGAGACACCCUGCCAGCCAGGAGCCUAAACAAAUUCUAUAAAAAUAAAACAAUUCAUUAAAGAUUUUUAAAGCCCCAAAUAUAUCAGAAAGAGUCGCUUUGGUUCAUGGAGUAGAACGGGGUCUAUAUUUCUUCAAAAUGAUGCCACGCGGGCACUUUUGUGGCACUGAAUCGCAUACGCAUCCGCGGGUUCCACAUCUGGGGAAGCCAGAAAGGUAUGAUCCAGCAGCCACUGGAGUGUGGCACCGUUGUCCGUCCUCUCGUACCAAAGGCAGGAAUACACAGAAGCAGGAGCCUUCGUCUGCCAAGUAUUUUGAAGUGUUUGUCAUUUGAAUUUGAAUUAAAUUUCUACUUAUUGUUUUCAUGUGAUGCUGUAACAUCUUCGGGGAAUGCUGCCACCGAUGGACUCUGGAUAAUCAAUCUGUAAUCUGCAGUACCUGUAGCAAACCAGAGAUGAUGCACUUCGGAUUAUGCCCGAACUGAGCGAUCUACACGAUUACAUCUAGAUAUUUUUAUACAUACAUACAUAUGUAAAUCAGUGAUAUACAAAUAUAUACUACAUGAAAAAUUCAUAAAAACUUAAUAAAAUGCUAAGAUCAUAAAGGUUAGAAAAAUAAUACCUAGCUCUCUGAAAAAGAAAAAGUUGAGUAAGGAUUCGUGGUUCAGAGUUAUCUAAAUAGCGCACUUUUGUAUGUCUACAAACUAUGGAAAACUUUGAAGGUGGCCCCGCCAGGAAAUUGGCGAUUUUUGCCUAGAGAACUUGAGAAAUAAGAAAGGGAAAUCCUCUUACUGAUCAAGAUCAGAAUCAUAUGAACCAUAAACGUCCUCAGCGGGCUGGGUACAGCCGUGAUCCAUCAGAUAGACGAUCAGUUCGGCAUAUUCGCCAAGGAAUCGAAACACACAGCCAUCCUGCAGACGAUUGACCAGCAUCAAGUCCUGCUCCACGUCGAGUAUUUUACUUUUGAGAUACUCCACGCAAUGGACAAAUCCUUUUAGGGCAAGGUGCUUUUUGUACGACGCCCAAAGAAGCAUCUGCGCAAGGAACCAGAGCAUCUACGAGCACAAACUCUGUAUUGCCGUAGACCACAUAAAAUGUUUUGUAUGCCCAGCCCAGUCCUCUAUGAUCUGGGCGCGAUAAUAGGAGCCGUCGUUGUGGAGAGCCAAAACUAUGUCCAAAUAAUGCGGUUUCUGCUUGAACUGACUCUUGACCGAUGGCAGAUUAUUCUGGUCGAUACCAGUGGGGCAGAGUCAUCCACAAAUUGGCCAUACAUAAGUUAUCAGCAUGUUCACAGUGCUUUCCAUAACUUCUGGCACGUUCAAGUCCUUGGUGGCAGCUAAGAAAGAAAAGGAGAUGUAACCGAGUAUGAUUUUUGUAUAUUUUUCGACUUACUCUUGAAGCAAUCAUUGGCCGUAUCUGCCAUGCCCCUGGGCGACUGACUUUGACUGGUCCUGACUAGAAUCAACUGGCUAGCUUAAUUGUGGGACCAAUAGCUCUGCUGCUGGGUAAGAGGAAGUGAUAAGAUCGAUUUCCUUGCCUAAUUGUGCGUCCUGUCGCUGGACCUCGUAAAGAGCUUUCGAAUGCAUUGAAUUUCAAUUGUUUAUGAAUAAAAUGUACAAAUAACACAAGCAGCAGGUUGACGAAGACUGACUCAAGUGUUGCAGCAUGCGUACAAGCUGGUACAGAAUCGUGCGUUACCCAACACUGGUGGCGGAUGGCUCUGGAACUUUCUGGAAGAUAUUGGUAAAAGAAGAAAUCGAUUGAGUGUCCACAUUUGACGACCCAUUGGCCAACCGUUUGUGUGUUCCUCACCGGCGUUUUUGUGCCGGGCUCAAUAAAAGCGCCCAUUGCCCACCAUCACGUCAACUGGAACCCACGAGAUGUCUUCAAUGAAACAGCUAAGCAGCUAUUUUGCCAUUUUGCGAAGCUGCUGAAUGUUAAAGAUUUAGUUGCCAGAGGUCCAGACGGAUGAAGUGCGCCUGUCACGCGCAGCCGUUGCUCAGCUCAUGGCGCGGAGCCACCGCUUUUCUACAGAUUGCUGAAGACGCUAUGGAGAAAAGCAUUGCAAUCUCGCAGCUCAUGGCUUAUAAUAUAAAGCUCUUCAUGUAUGAUACCCAGAAGAACAACUUUAUCCAUUGGCACACAUUUGAUCGAUACAUAAAGGACUAAAGGAACAUUGAUCUAUCGGUACAGCGUCCAUCAAUGAUAUACGGGAAUGGCAGCUCCCAGGAGAAACUCAACAAGAUAUUUCCCACUCUAAAAAGGAUCCGAGUCAGUCGCAUAAUGAUAGACUUGUGCGGGGAAAUCCAAAGGAAUGAUUUUUGCCAGUCUUAUGGCAGCUGGGAAAUGAUUACAUGGACUGUUGCAAGCGUGGAGCUGCUUUGGUAUACCCUUGCCAGACAGAGAGGCCUGACUGAUUAAAAGCCAGAAAGCAGGAGACGCUCUUAGGAUGCUGUGUUGGUCACAGGAAUACCUGAAAGUAUGCCGAAGGUGGCCAUAGGCCAAACCUCUUUAAACGGCCAUCGAAAUCGAUGUUGUGUAGAAGCAAAGGCUAUAGACUAUAGGUCAAACGCAUAAAACCCAAAUUUAAUAAAAAAGGCACCGUCAAUGUCUUAAAACAGUC